CUCAGACAUGGAAAUCAAUGUUUAUACAAGCAGCAUCCUGAAAUUGUAAAAGGUUUAGCCAUUGCAAAUAACACACGCUUUGGUAAGAUUGAAAGAGACUAGCAAAGUAAGAGAUGAUUUGAAUUAUUGAAAAUACAUUUGGGGAACAUUUUCGAUUUCUUUUUUAUAUACCGUUUUUGUUGAUAAAAUAUAUUGCUUCCCAUUCAUCUACUGAGAGAGACUUUCCUUAUAAGAAGAAAUACAAAAAACGAAGAGAAAAAAAGGUCAACAAAACUAUCACAUCAGCUAUGUCUGACAACAUAUGGAAGGUUUUAUAUCCAUAGUCCCCAACUUCUGCAAAAAAGGGAGCCAAUGGGAACGAGCGAGUAUUGUCCUGGGAGUCAGAAACUUUGGAUUCCAGCACCAGAGGUGACUAGUCUGACUUUAUGCAAAAUGGUUAAAUUCACCUAACUCAACUCCAAUUUUUCUGUCUAAAGAAUGGGAACCCCCUCCGCCCCCUGCAAACCCCAACCAACUUGCCUUCAUAGUUUUGUAUUCUAAAGCAGCAAGAUUGUAAGAAGGAAGGCAAUGGUGCAGUUAGGUAGCACAGUGGAUAGAGAGCCAGGGCUGGACUUGAUAGGACUUCAGGUUCAAAUCUGACCUCAGAUACUUUCUAGCUGUGUGACCCUGGGCAAGUCAAUGACCCCCAAUUUCUGGGCCUUAACCUCUCUUCUACCUUCCAACUGAUACUUAGUAUAGAUUCUAAAAGAGAAGGAAAGGGUUUAAUCAAAAAGGGAAAAUUUUCCAUUUUUGCUAUGAUAAAGUCAGAGCUUUAUUUGCCCAGAAAGAUUUCAGCUCUUCUUUAGUGAUUUCUAUCACAGAGUUCUGAGCUUCAAUCUUCCAGCUAUAACUAAUAAAUGGAAUUAUUUCCAAUUAGCA
rnacentral:lncRNA from 1 species